rnacentral:rRNA from 1 species
UACGUAGGGUGCGAGCGUUGUCCGGAAUUAUUGGGCGUAAAGAGCUCGUAGGCGGCUUGUCGCGUCGGAUGUGAAAACCCGAGGCUCAACUUCGGGCUUGCAUUCGAUACGGGCAGGCUCGAGUUCGGUAGGGGAGACUGGAAUUCCUGGUGUAGCGGUGAAAUGCGCAGAUAUCAGGAGGAACACCGGUGGCGAAGGCGGGUCUCUGGGCCGAUACUGACGCUGAGGAGCGAAAGCGUGGGGAGCGAACAGG